rnacentral:rRNA from 1 species
GACGAACGCUGGCGGCGUGCUUAACACAUGCAAGUCGAACGGAAAGGCCCUGCUUUUGUGGGGUGCUCGAGUGGCGAACGGGGGAGUAACACGUGAGUAACCUGCCCUUGACUUUGGGAUAACUUCAGGAAACUGGGGCUAAUACCGGAUAGGAGCUCCUGCUGCAUGGGGGGGGUUGGAAAGUUUCGGCGGUUGGGGAUGUACUCGCGGCUUAUCAGCCUGUUGGUGGGGUAGUGGCUUACCAAGGCUUUGACGGGUAGCCGGCCUGAGAGGGUGACCGGCCACAUUGGGACUGAGAUACGGCCCAGACUCCUACGGGCGGCAGCAGUGGGGAAUAUUGCACAAUGCGCGGAAGCCUGAUGCAGCAACGCCGCGUGCGGGAUGACGGCCUUCGGGUUGUAAACCGCUUUCGCCUGUGACGAAGCGUGAGUGACGGUAAUGGGUAAAGAAGCACCGGCUAACUACGU